UGGGCAUGGAUGAAGAGUGACUGCUAAUGGGAAUGGGGUUUCUUUUCAGGGUGAUGGAAAUCUUCUAAAAUUAAGUUGUGAUAAUGGUUGCACAGAACUGUGAAUAUACUAAAACCUUUGAA